rfam:Paenibacillus sp. D9 Scaffold1, whole genome shotgun sequence.
CAUUCCAAAACAACGGAAGCCCUACCUCUCUUCCGUCCUUGCGGCUCCAAUGACCGCGCCAGCGUGAAUCAGAAUUGCUUUAAGGCC